CUGGGACGGAAGGAUUCGAACCUCCGAAUACCGGGACCAAAACCCGUU
rnacentral:tRNA from 1 species